CCUCGCGCUCACGUAGCGGCCUUCGGCGUCUCCGAACUCGGCGAGCACCCGGGCGCCGAGGACGACGCCGAUGCCCGGCUGA
rfam:Streptosporangium roseum DSM 43021, complete genome.